GCCCAUGAAUUGCAGGUAGCUCUUUUGGUAGAGCAUGAGACUCUUAAUCUUUGGGCUGUGGGUUCAAACCCCAUGUUGGGCA